UUUGCCGCUACGAAACCGGCCUACGAUAUCAGAACUUGAUUUAUAAAAGGGUGCUGGAUUACCGAUGAGAGCAGUUAGAUUCUAUUUUACCGUCGACGGUAAGGCAACGGCGGGCAUCAUCGGAGGGCUCAAACACGUGGAGAGAUAUGGCUCGAUCCGCGGUAGAUUCCAGAUUGUUUCGGCGAUUAUGCCUCGAUUUAAGAUUUACGGGCGAGCGCGAAGCCUUUCCAGACGUACCGCCAUUUAUUUAUAGUUACGGAGAAUCACUUAUUGCAACCCGUUCGUUCACUUUCUUCUCUCUCUUUCUUUCUUUGUCGAGUUCUUUCUUCCUGGCCUUCUUCAUCGCCCGCACGCGUGAGCGCUUUUAACGCCCGAUGUCGAAGACGACCACCCGCGGUAUUGAAGUGGUACGGGAAUGCGGCUGCGGACAAACAUCAGAUGCAAUUUCGUGCAUCGACAGAAACGCAGCUUCGGAGAACCGGCACGAAAGCGGAUCUACACGCUCGUAAUUAUGUUAGACAGCGGACCCCGAGGUAGUAGUCGACGACGAGCAGGUUAUUUGCUUCGCAGAAGUGAUAAACAAAACAUGUUCACGCGCAGAUGAGGGUUAAAAGGACCGCCGUAUGUCCCCAGUUGCUUCUGAUGCUGCAAUCGUUCAACGACACGAAUGAGCUUUUCUGGCCGUUUUGGCCUUCAGCAGCAGCCGUAGCUAAAUAAGACAUUCAAUUCGUCAAGUUUUUGUAUGCUCGACGUGUAUUGUAUAUUGAAGUGUCUGCGUUGAAAUAUUCAGUAAUUAGAUGCGGAUUGGUGAAGGAAGGACCUUAGUUGGGAACAUGAUUUCUGAAGGAAAAGCAUGAGAUGGAAGAUAUUACUUUUGAUUAAAAUUAUAUUUAAAUGUUUCUUUUAGAGUUAAUAUAUAAUUAACAUUAAUUAAAGAAAUUUAUUUAUAUAUCAGAAAGUAUUACUACAGAAAAUAUAAUAAAUUGUUUUAUACAAGAAUGAUUAGGGACUUCUAUACUCAACUCAGAUGUAUACAAAACAACAUACACACACAGAUACAUAAUAAACUAAAAUUUUUUAAUAAUUUAUUUUUGAUGGAAACUAAUAUUAUUGAUAUCGAGCAGAUUGUAUAUGGUAUAAUAUCCUAGAAUGCAAAUAAAAAUCGAGAGAGAAAG